rnacentral:rRNA from 1 species
GAUGAACGCUAGCGGGAGGCCUAACACAUGCAAGCCGAGCGGUAUUGUUUCUUCGGAAAUGAGAGAGCGGCGUACGGGUGCGGAACACGUGUGCAACCUGCCUUUAUCUGGGGGAUAGCCUUUCGAAAGGAAGAUUAAUACUCCAUAACAUAUUGAACGGCAUCGUUUAAUAUUGAAAGCUCCGGCGGAUAGAGAUGGGCACGGGCAAGAUUAGCUAGUUGGUGAGGUAACGGCUCACCAAGGCGAUGAUCUUUAGGGGGCCUGAGAGGGUGAUCCCCCACACUGGUACGGAGACACGGACCAGACUCCUACGGGAGGCAGCAGUGAGGAAUAUUGGUCAAUGGGUGCAAGCCUGAACCAGCCAUCCCGCGUGAAGGACGACUGCCCUAUGGGUUGUAAACUUCUUUUGUAUAGGGAUAAACCUACCCUCGUGAGGGUAGCUGAAGGUACUAUACGAAUAAGCACCGGCUAACUCCGUGCCAGCCGCCGCAGUAAUAC